UACGUAGGCAGCGAGCGUUGUUCGGAGUUACUGGGCGUAAAGGGUGUGUAGGCGGUUGUUUAAGUUUGGUGUGAAAUCUCCCGGCUCAACUGGGAGGGUGCGCCGAAUACUGAAUGACUAGAGUGCGGGAGAGGAAAGUGGAAUUCCUGGUGUAGCGGUGAAAUGCGUAGAUAUUGGGAAGAACACCAGUGGCGUAGGCGACUAGCUGGGCCAUAACUGACGCUGAGGAACGAAAGCCAGGGGAGCGAAUGGG
rnacentral:rRNA from 1 species